AACGAACGCUGGCGGCGUGCCUAACACAUGCAAGUCGAGGGAAAAAGGGGCUUCGGCUCCCGAGUAAACCGGCGCACGGGUGAGUAACACGUAGGUAACGUACCCUGGAGUCCGGGAUAACCAGUCGAAAGACUGGCUAAUACCGGAUACGACUACGAGGUCUCCGGACUUUGUAGUGAAAGAUGGCCUCUAUUUAUAAGCUAUCACUCCUGGAUCGGCCUGCGCACCAUUAGCUAGUUGGUGAGGAACGGCUCACCAAGGCUGAGAUGGUUAGCUGGUCUGAGAGGAUGGCCAGCCACACUGGGACUGAGACACGGCCCAGACUCCUACGGGAGGCAGCAGUGGGGAAUAUUGCGCAAUGGGGGAAACCCUGACGCAGCGACGCCGCGUGGGUGAUGAAGGCC
rnacentral:rRNA from 1 species